rnacentral:rRNA from 1 species
GAUGAACGCUGGCGGCAUGCCUAACACAUGCAAGUCGAACGGCAGCACAGUAAGCUUUUUCUCUUACCGUUAGCGGGUGGCGGACGGGUGACGAGUACAUCAGAUUCUUCUUUUUCUUGGAUGAUUACGUAAAGACACUUACGCUAAUACCUCAUAUAUUCUACCGGUUAGAUCAAUAGAUCUUCACACCUUUCCUGUUUCAUUUAGCCGAUGUCGCAUUAGCUAGUUGGCUGGGUAAAGUCCCACCAAGGCGACGAUGCGUAGCUGACCUGAGAGGAUGAUCGGCCACACUGGAACUGAGACACGGUCCAGACUCCUACGGGAGGCAGCAGUGGGGAAUCUUCGACAAUGGGCGAAAGCCUGACGGAGCAACGCCGCGUGAGUGAUGAAGGUCUUCGGAUCGUAAAGCUCUUUUGUUGGGAAAGAACAGAAGUGGGAUAAACUAUGGACGUCUUGACGGUACCUAAUGAAAAAGCAACGGCUAACUUCGUG